rnacentral:rRNA from 1 species
GACGAACGCUGGCGGCGUGCCUAAUACAUGCAAGUUGAGCGCUGAAGGUUGGUACUUGUACCAACUGGAUGAGCAGCGAACGGGUGAGUAACGCGUGGGGAAUCUGCCUUUGAGCGGGGGACAACAUUUGGAAACGAAUGCUAAUACCGCAUAAAAACUUUAAACACAAGUUUUAAGUUUGAAAGAUGCAAUUGCAUCACUCAAAGAUGAUCCCGCGUUGUAUUAGCUAGUUGGUGAGGUAAAGGCUCACCAAGGCGAUGAUACAUAGCCGACCUGAGAGGGUGAUCGGCCACAUUGGGACGGAGACACGGCCCAAACUCCUACGGGAGGCAGCAGUAGGGAAUCUUCGGCAAUGGACGAAAGUCUGACCGAGCAACGCCGCGGGAGUGAAGAAGGUUGUCGGAUCGUAAAACUCGGUUGGUAGAGAAGAACGUUGGUGAGAGUGGAAAGCUCAUCAAGUGACGGUAACUACCCAGAAAGGGACGGCUAACUACGUG